UCCCUGGUGUCUCUGACGGUAAAGAAUCUGCCUGCAGUGCAGAAGACCCAGGUUCAAUCCCUGGGUCGGGAG
rfam:Ovis aries breed Texel chromosome 15, whole genome shotgun sequence.